UACCGUGAAACUGCGAAUGGCUCAUUAAAUCAGUUAUCGUUUAUUUGAUAGUACCUUACUACUUGGAUAACCGUGGUAAUUCUAGAGCUAAUACAUGCUGAAAACCCCGACUUCGGGAGGGGUGUAUUUAUUAGAUAAAAAACCAAUGCCCUUCGGGGCUCCUUGGUGAUUCAUAAUAACUUAACAGAUCGCAUGGCCUUGCGCCGGCGACGGUUCAUUCAAAUUUCUGCCCUAUCAACUUUCGAUGGUAAGGUAUUGGCUUACCAUGGUUUCAACGGGUAACGGGGAAUUAGGGUUCGAUUCCGGAGAGGGAGCCUGAGAAACGGCUACCACAUCCAAGGAAGGCAGCAGGCGCGCAAAUUACCCAAUCCCGACACGGGGAGGUAGUGACAAUAAAUACUGAUACAGGGCUCUUUUGGGUCUUGUAAUCGGAAUGAGUACAAUUUAAACCUCUUAACGAGGAACAAUUGGAGGGCAAGUCUGGUGCCAGCAGCCGCGGUAAUUCCAGCUCCAAUAGCGUAUAUUAAAGUUGUUGCAGUUAAAAAGCUCGUAGUUGAAUCUUGGGCCUGGCUGGCCGGUCCGCCUCACCGCGUGCACUGGUCCGGCCGGGCCUUUCCUUCUGGAGAGCCCCAUGCCCUUCACUGGGUGUGCGGGGGAACCAGGACUUUUACUUUGAAAAAAUUAGAGUGUUCAAAGCAGGCCUUUGCUCGAAUACGUUAGCAUGGAAUAAUAGAAUAGGACGUGCGAUCCUAUUUUGUUGGUUUCUAGGACCGCCGUAAUGAUUAAUAGGGACAGUCGGGGGCAUCAGUAUUCAAUUGUCAGAGGUGAAAUUCUUGGAUUUAUUGAAGACUAACUACUGCGAAAGCAUUUGCCAAGGAUGUUUUCAUUAAUCAGUGAACGAAAGUUAGGGGAUCGAAGACGAUCAGAUACCGUCGUAGUCUUAACCGUAAACUAUGCCGACUAGGGAUCGGGCGGUGUUCCUUUGUUGACCCGCUCGGCACCUUUCGAGAAAUC
rnacentral:rRNA from 2 species